rnacentral:rRNA from 1 species
CCUACGGGUGGCUGCAGUGGGGAAUAUUGCACAAUGGAGGAAACUCUGAUGCAGCGAUGCCGCGUGCGUGAAGAAGUAUCUCGGUAUGUAAAGCUCUAUCAGCAGGGAAGAAAAUGCCGGUACCUGAUUAAGACGCCACGGCUAAUUACGUGCCAGCAGCCGCGGUAAUACGUAGGGGGCAAGCGUUAUCCGGAUUUACUGGGUGUAAAGGGGGCGUAGACGGUUAAGUAAGUCUGGAGUGAAAGGCCGGGGCCCAACCCCGGGACUGCUCUGGAAACUAUUGAACUUGAGUGAAGGAGAGGUAAGCGGAAUGCCUAGUGUAGCGGUGAAAUGCGUAGAUAUUAGGAGGAACACCAGUGGCGAAGGCGGCUUACUGGACUGUAACUGACGUUGAGGCUCGAAAGCGUGGGGAGCAAACAGGAUUAGAUACCCCAGUAGUC